AGGACGACGCUGGCGGCGUGCCUAAUACAUGCAAGUCGAACGGUCUUUUCUAUGGAAGCUUGCUUCCACUGAGAAGAUAGUGGCGAACGGGUGAGUAACACGUGGGUAACCUGCCCAUAAGAGGGGGAUAACAUCCGGAAACGGGUGCUAAUACCGCAUAGUUUUCUUGAUCGCAUGAUCGGGAAAGGAAAGACGGCCUUUGUGCUGUCGCUUAUGGAUGGACCCGCGGCGUAUUAGUUAGUUGGUGAGGUAACGGCUCACCAAGACGAUGAUACGUAGCCGACCUGAGAGGGUGAUCGGCCACAUUGGGACUGAGACACGGCCCAAACUCCUACGGGAGGCAGCAGUAGGGAAUCUUCCGCAAUGGACGAAAGUCUGACGGAGCAACGCCGCGUGAGUGAAGAAAGGUUUUCGGAUCGUAAAACUCUGUUGUCAGAGAAGAACAAGUUGGAGAGUAACUGCUCCAGCCUUGACGGUAUCUGACCAGAAAGCCACGGCUAACUACGUGCCAGCCGCCGC
rnacentral:rRNA from 1 species